rnacentral:lncRNA from 1 species
UUCUUGUUUCAUCUCAAUAUUUGCUAGAGUUAUUGUAGUUGUGAAUUUUGCGUUUUGAGUUGUUUUUCAAGUUUUUUUAUUGUUAUAGAGUUAGAGUUGUGAUGAUGAACUGUGUAUGCAUUGUUCUCCACUUAUGAAGGACUAAACUUAUUGUUCGUGUUGUUGUUUGUUGUGUCACUGAAACUUAUUGUUUGUUUGUCAUUUUAAUUUGUUUCUUGUACUGUUAAGAAUACAUAAAUUAUAUUAAAGUUGUUGAGAAUACCUUUUGUUUCUGAAUAUUUUUCUCCAGUUUAGCUGUGUAAGUUGUGUGUAUUAAGAAAUAAUUUUUAUUAUCCUUAUUAUGUUUAUUAUAUGUUUUUAUUUUAUUUUUAAACUUGUUGCUCUUACCGGAUCUUUAAAACAAAUACAUGAAGACUUGUAGAAAUAACUAUAAAAUG